rnacentral:rRNA from 1 species
UACGUAGGGUGCAGGCGUUACUCGGAAUUACUGGGCGUAAAGCGUGCGCAGGCGGUUUCUUAAGUCAGAUGUGAAAGCCCCGGGCUUAACCUGGGAACUGCGUUUGAAACUGGGAGACUUGAGUGUGGCAGAGGGGGGUGGAAUUCCACGUGUAGCAGUGAAAUGCGUAGAUAUGUGGAGGAACACCGAUGGCGAAGGCAGCUCCCUGGGUUAACACUGACGCUCAUGCACGAAAGCGUGGGGAGCAAACAGG